AUUGAACGCUGGCGGCAGGCCUAACACAUGCAAGUCGAGCGGAUGAAGGGAGCUUGCUCCUGGAUUCAGCGGCGGACGGGUGAGUAAUGCCUAGGAAUCUGCCUGGUAGUGGGGGAUAACGUCCGGAAACGGGCGCUAAUACCGCAUACGUCCUGAGGGAGAAAGUGGGGGAUCUUCGGACCUCACGCUAUCAGAUGAGCCUAGGUCGGAUUAGCUAGUUGGUGGGGUAAAGGCCUACCAAGGCGACGAUCCGUAACUGGUCUGAGAGGAUGAUCAGUCACACUGGAACUGGGCCACGGUCCAGACUCCUACGGGAGGCAGCAGUGGGGAAUAUUGGACAAUGGGCGAAAGCCUGAUCCAGCCAUGCGGCGUGUGUGAAGAAGGUCUUCGGAUUGUAAAGCACUUUAAGUUGGGAGGAAGGGCAGUAAGUUAAUACCUUGCUGUUUUGACGUUACCAACAGAAUAAGCACCGGCUAACUUCGUG
rnacentral:rRNA from 1 species